rnacentral:rRNA from 1 species
AGGAAGGUAGUGUAGUUAACACCUGCAUUAUUUGACGUUACCUACAGAAGAAGCACCGGCUAACUCCGUGCCAGUCGAGCCGCGGUAAUACGGAGGGUGCGAGCGUUAAUCGGAAUUACUGGGCGUAAAGCGCAUGCAGGCGGACCUGUUAAGUCAGAUGUGAAAGACCCGGGGCUUAACCUCGGAAUUGCAUUUGAAACUGGCAGGACUAGAGUCUUGUAGAGGGGGGUAGGAAUUUCAGGUGUAGCCGGUGUAAAUGACGUAGAGAUCUGAAGGAAUACCAGUGGCGAAGGCGGCCCCCUCGGACAAAGACUGACGCUCAGAUGCGAAAGCGUGGGGAGCAAACAGGAUUAGAUACCCUGGUAG